GCGCGCUUAGCUCAGUUGGUUAGAGCACUGCUUUUACACAGCAGGGGUCGUAGGUUCGAAUCCUACAGCGCGCA
rnacentral:tRNA from 1 species